ACAUAUGGGCAGGAGUCCAAGGCAGGGACCUGAAGCAGAAGCCAUGGGGAAGUGCGGCUUGCUGGCUUGCUCCUUAUGGCUUGCUCAGCUUGCUUUCUUAUACAGAACUGGACCAUAUGCCCAGAGGUAGCAUCACCCACAACAGACUCGACACUCUCACAUCAUCACUAAUUAAAAAAUGUCCCCUAGACCCCUAGGCUUCCUUACAGCCAGAUCUUAUAGAGGAAAUUCUCUCAGUUGUGGUACCCGCUUCUCAGGUGACUCUAGGCUUUUUUUCAAGUUAACAAAAGAAACCAAACAGGGCAGCAGUAUACACUCUAAACAUACAUGUGCCUCCAGGGAGUAUUGAAACAUGCAUGUGGCAGGAUUUGCUCCUAACUGUAGAUGUUUUGUGCAGUGUUUUUCUGCUUCUUUGAAAGUCUGAUAACUUUUUACUGGAUGCCGAACACUAUGGUUUUUUUUGCUGUCAUGGUUGGGUGGUGGGUAUUUUUAGGUAUUUUGUAUUGGGGGGUUAAUAAAUGAAACACUCUUCAUGUUCAUAAAUUAUGGACUUUCAACAUUGGUUUGGAGGGACAAGAAGCUCUCCAGACCCUGUGAACACUGCAGAUGUACACUGAACACUGUAACCCUGUCCUUUGGGGGCUUCUUCUGGCUUUAUGUGGUUCCUUCACAUUCUUGAUGUGCUCGGCCUUGGCAGAAUCCUCGGGACCGCUCAGCAGAGCUGCACAUUCUCUGAAGAGUGUGCUUCCCCUGGACUUCGCUUUAGGGACUCUUGCCUUGCCGGCAUGGGGGUCCUUAUCUCCAUCUCUCUCAGCAACAGUGGUGCAUCAGCUCUGCCUGGGGUGGACUCUUCUCUGCUGUGCUUAGAUCCUUCUCCCAGGCCUCACUGGACAAUCCAUCUCUCAGGCUUCGCCUUUUCCAAUGCCUGGUGUUCAGUAACAUGAAAAACGAUAUAUCUCCUUCUGAGACGGGUCUCAUUCUGUAUCCCUGGCCAACAUGGAACUGCGUAUAAAUCAGACAGGUUAUGUCUGCCUCCUGAGCGCACCAGUGCACUCAGCCUAAACCUUUUGUCUCUUAUGUUCCAUUUGCCCUUUCAAAUAGUUGUUGGGAUUGUCUGGGAAUGCUUUUUAAAAAAAUCUAAAGUUUGUGUUCCCCCUGGCAGACUUCACUCCUCUCCAGUGUGUGCCAGUACAAAAAAAAUAUUCAUAUUAGAUUCUUUGAUGAAAGACGUCAACGUCUCCUGCUGGGAUUCCAGGUGGAAAUAUAUUUAUUUGAGGAAAAGAAGCUUGGUGGAUGGGGUGGAACAAGUCUGAAGGAAUCCAUGAGAACCAGGAACCGUCUAACCUUGUGUGGCUGUCAUCUGGGCCAGCCGCUUGAAAUGUCUGUCUGUAUUACUACAUAACCUGUAGCUCUUCUUUAAAAAAAAAUUAUCAAGGGCCAACAUGAUAAUAUGCUGCCAACUUUUAAGACUCGAGUUCCCCAGGGCCCAUCUAGUGGAAGGAAAGGACCAGUUCCCACAAGUUGUCCUCUGAGGUCUAUGCAUGUGCGUCAUGGCAAGCACUACCCCCACCACACAUGUACACACACACACACACACACACACACACACACACACACACUAAAAUGUGGUAAGAAAAUUAAUUGGCCAUGUAUCAUGGUGUACGUUUAAUUACAGCACUCAGGAGGCAGAUCUCUGUGCGUUUAAGAGCAGCUUGAUAUAUACAAGGAAUUCCAGGCCAGCCAGGGCUACACAGUGAGAUCUUGUCUCAAAAUACAAACC
rnacentral:lncRNA from 1 species